rnacentral:ncRNA from 2 species
GUAGGUGAACCUGCGGAAGGGUCAUUA